rnacentral:ncRNA from 1 species
ACUUCGGGGUUUGGUGAAAUUCCAUACCGGCGGUAUAGUCCGCGAGCGUUUGCAUGAUCAGGUGUAAUUCCUGAACCGACAGUAGAGUCUGGAUGAGAGAAGAA